AGCACAGAGAGCUUGCUCUCGGGUGACGAGCGGCGGACGGGUGAGUAAUGUCUGGGAAACUGCCUGAUGGAGGGGGAUAACUACUGGAAACGGUAGCUAAUACCGCAUAACGUCGCAAGACCAAAGUGGGGGACCUUCGGGCCUCAUGCCAUCAGAUGUGCCCAGAUGGGAUUAGCUAGUAGGUGGGGUAAUGGCUCACCUAGGCGACGAUCCCUAGCUGGUCUGAGAGGAUGACCAGCCACACUGGAACUGAGACACGGUCCAGACUCCUACGGGAGGCAGCAGUGGGGAAUAUUGCACAAUGGGCGCAAGCCUGAUGCAGCCAUGCCGCGUGUGUGAAGAAGGCCUUCGGGUUGUAAAGCACUUUCAGCGGGGAGGAAGGCGUUAAGGUUAAUAACCUUGGCGAUUGACGUUACCCGCAGAAGAAGCACCGGCUAACUCCGUGCCAGCAGCCGCGGUAAUACGGAGGGUGCAAGCGUUAAUCGGAAUUACUGGGCGUAAAGCGCACGCAGGCGGUCUGUCAAGUCGGAUGUGAAAUCCCCGGGCUCAACCUGGGAACUGCAUUCGAAACUGGCAGGCUAGAGUCUUGUAGAGGGGGGUAGAAUUCCAGGUGUAGCGGUGAAAUGCGUAGAGAUCUGGAGGAAUACCGGUGGCGAAGGCGGCCCCCUGGACAAAGACUGACGCUCAGGUGCGAAAGCGUGGGGAGCAAACAGGAUUAGAUACCCUGGUAGUCCACGCCGUAAACGAUGUCGAUUUGGAGGUUGUGCCCUUGAGGCGUGGCUUCCGGAGCUAACGCGUUAAAUCGACCGCCUGGGGAGUACGGCCGCAAGGUUAAAACUCAAAUGAAUUGACGGGGGCCCGCACAAGCGGUGGAGCAUGUGGUUUAAUUCGAUGCAACGCGAAGAACCUUACCUGGUCUUGACAUCCACAGAACUUUCCAGAGAUGGAUUGGUGCCUUCGGGAACUGUGAGACAGGUGCUGCAUGGCUGUCCUCCGCUCCUGUUGUGAAAUGUUUGGGUUAAAUCCCGCCAC
rnacentral:rRNA from 1 species